rnacentral:rRNA from 1 species
UACGGAGGGUGCAAGCGUUAUCCGGCUUCACUGGGUUUAAAGGGUGCGUAGGUGGAUCGGUAAGUCCGUGGUGAAAUCCCCGAGCUUAACUCGGGAACUGCCGUGGAUACUAUCGAUCUUGAAUACUGUGGAGGUAAGCGGAAUAUGUCAUGUAGCGGUGAGAUGCUUAGAUAUGACAUAGAACACCGAUAGCGAAGGCAGCUUGCUACACAGUUAUUGACACUGAGGCACGAAAGCGUGGGGAGCAAACAGG